CUUUCUUGCUCUAUGAGCUUGUGCUAAGCUCGUGGCUGUCUCGCGCUAGGGUUUUAAUUCUCUCAUUUCAAGUUUCUAAAAGCUCAGAAUCGCAGACGGAAAAAUGACGAAGAACUACCCAAAAGUUAGUGAAGAGUACCAGAAGGCCAUUGAUAAGGCCAAGAGGAAGCUCAGGGGUUUCAUCGCUGAGAAGGGCUGUGCUCCUCUCAUGCUCCGUAUCGCAUGGCACUCAGCUGGAACUUACGACGCGAACACCAAGACUGGAGGUCCAUUUGGAACCAUGAGGCACGCAGCGGAGCAGGCCCAUGCUGCUAACAAUGGGCUGGAUAUUGCUGUCAGACUCCUUGAGCCCAUCAAGCAGCAGUUCCCUAUCCUCUCCUAUGCUGACUUCUAUCAGCUUGCUGGUGUUGUUGCCGUUGAGAUCACUGGUGGGCCUGAGAUCCCAUUCCACCCUGGCAGAGAGGUCAGUCUAUUGCUCUAAUCGUUGCCCUUUAUUUUAGAUAUUUCGAUUUAUGCUCCUUUGCCCUUUUUUAAUGCAAGUUUUGCUGAAUAACGAUGUUGGCAAUUAGUUUUACUGGGUAAUUAGGAACACUAAGAAGAGGCAAAAAAAGUGUUAGUUUGGUUAUGCCCAUCCAACCAGUGCUGAAAAUUGAAUUGGAGAAAAUUUUAAGCCUUCGCAUAGUGGAUUAAUUGUGUUUUUAUCAAUUUAUGUUGUAUGAUUUUUUUGUAACCAUAUGUUGCAAUGCUUUAUCCUUGAAAAAAAAAAGGCCAAUGAUAUGCUGAAUUAAGAUUCACAAAACGGGCAAUGUUGGUAUUGUCUAUUUUGCUUGAUGAUACUCGUUUUGAGUUGUGUCGGCUCCAAUGUGUUUCCCUUAUUUAGUUUCCCUGGAAAUAGAGAAUCUGAUGUCUGUGUUUUAAUCACUUGAAUUAUGCUGGAUGUCAAAAUUGAUAAUUUGAAUGAAUUAUGUUUUAAUCACAAUGGUGUUGCUACCACGAUGUCUAAUCUGAUGUAGGACUGCCUGUAGGUCUUAUAAUGAAUGUUAAAAUUUGAGGAUAAAUGACCAGGAAUUUAGGUGGAGAAUUAAGGUUUGUGAGAAGACGGAAUUAAGAAGUGAAUUGAGUUUUUGGCUUCACAUCUAAAUUUUCUUGGGCAUCACUGUCAAGGUUACAUAGGCACCGCACCUAGGGUAAAAAUUGCAUUAUAGGAGUCAAAGGAUAAUUGUUAGAAUUUGUACUAAUAAGAAACUUCGAAACAACAUUAAACCAUAGAUUUUUAUAGAUUCAAGUAGUACUAUAGGUUCAAAUCACGAUGACACCCAUCAUCUUUACGAAUUUCUUAAGUACCAAAAAAGAAAAAAGAUCCAUGUAUCGAUUUCCUUGUAGAGUUUUCUAAAGUCAUUUCUUUCUCUCUAUUUCUGUGUGCGCAAGUGUAUGGAUUUUAUUUUUCAGCUGUUACUAACAGUGACCUCACUAUCUCAGGACAAGCCUGAACCACCUCCAGAAGGUCGUCUGCCUAAUGCUACUAAAGGUUAACUUCUUCCACAAUGAUAUGUCUAUAAUUGAAAUUAGGAGCAUGUUUGUGGUUUGGCUGUUUAUGUAUGGGGUUGAUUCCUAAACUGAGGAAUUGUUGUUUCAGGUGCUGAUCACUUGAGGGAGGUCUUUGGCAAAACCAUGGGUCUCAGUGACAAGGAUAUCGUUGUUCUCUCUGGUGGCCACACCCUGGGAAGGUGCCACAAGGAGCGCUCUGGUUUUGAAGGUCCCUGGACUACGAACCCACUCAUCUUUGACAACUCCUACUUCACG
rnacentral:misc_RNA from 1 species